rnacentral:tRNA from 1 species
GUCUCGGUAGUCUAAAGGCUUAGGACGCUCGCACGGAAUGCAAGAGAUCCGGGUUCGACUCCCGGCCGAGGAA